ACGUAGGGGGCAAGCGUUAUCCGGAUUUACUGGGUGUAAAGGGAGCGUAGACGGCAUAGCAAGUCUGAAGUGAAAGCCCGUGGCUCAACCGCGGAACUGCUUUGGAAACUGUUAAGCUGGAGUACUGGAGAGGCAAGCGGAAUUCCUAGUGUAGCGGUGAAAUGCGUAGAUAUUAGGAGGAACACCAGUGGCGAAGGCGGCUUACUGGACUGUAACUGACGUUGAGGCUCGAAAGCGUGGGGAGCAA
rnacentral:rRNA from 1 species